rnacentral:lncRNA from 1 species
UGAGAGGAAGUAUUUACUUGGCAUAUCAGGAAGGUACCUCAUUCCCAGAUGGGCUAAGUCAACUCCUCCAAAGCAGCAACAACAAAAGACCUUCCAUAUUAAAAUAGGUUAAUCUUUCAAGAAAACAAUGAAUAAAGUACUCCACAGGGUGAGUUUAGGUGCCAGAGCAUUUCUCCAGAGCAACUUUUUAUGGGUAGCCAGGGAGGAAGAAAUGAAUGAGACCAAGUUAAAGUAGAAGAAACAGAGCUCAAUUCAAAGCCCACCUGGAUAGAUGGUUUUGUGAGGUUGAUUCCUGGAUAUCACUACAACAUUCAUGAUUAAAAUUUUUUUUUCUGAUACAUUAAAGAGGAUUGAUCUGGUAGAGGAAUAAUCAUACAGAAGUUGAAGUCUAAAGUUCUGAAUUCAACAGAAAAGCUGUAUUUUUUAUAAAUCUUACAGAAAUGCUUAUCUUAGGCAAAAAUGUUUCACUUAGAAAUACGUCAUUAAAGGAUUUUGGAUUCUACAUAGUGGCUACUUUAGAGGGAACUCUACUCUGGAUAUUUUCUGUUGUUAUCUGCCUGACUUUCUCAUGAUAUCCCUCCUUCAUAAAAUUCUGUGUAUCAUGAUUUUCCACAGUGGGACUAUUUGGUAGUAUUCUCUUAUACUUAAACCCCUGUUAACACUUGUAAGUUUUCUAUUACCUACCCACCCCUAAAUGAUGACAAGGCAAAGUCAGAGAGCGUCAGUGUGGAAAUAUAAAUCUGACUUCUCAACCCAGCCCUGAGCCCAGACAUAGUGUUGCUUUGAAAAGGCACUAAACUUGGGCCCCCAGAUUGUCACCUAUAAAAUGAGGGAAUUGGAGUGAUUGUUUCUGUUUCCUUCCGGCC